rnacentral:lncRNA from 1 species
AGAUUUGGUUAGAUGAAAGUAAGGGUGUCGUUUACUUUAUGGGAACAAAAGACUCGCCUGUUGAACAACAUCUGUAUGUGGCCUCGUACGUGAACCGCACACAAAAUGUUGCCCGUCUUACGCAACCUGGCUUCUCUCAUAAUGUGACCAUAAAUGAGGUACUGUAACUCAGGAAGCCAGCGUGGUGGUCAGCGUCAGAAAAUAUUGUCGAGGAGGAAACAAAUUAAACUCUUUCAUUUAAUGGACAACUUGCAUGUUAAACUAAACUUUAAUCUAAGUAAAGAGAAGGGAAUCAAACACCACAGCUAAAACGAACAGAAUG